UACAGAGGGUGCAAGCGUUGUUCGGAAUUACUGGGCGUAAAGCGCGUGUAGGCGGCGGCGUAAGUCGGGUGUGAAAUCCCUCAGCUCAACUGAGGAAGUGCACUCGAUACUGUGUCGCUUGAAUGUCGGAGGGGAUGGCGGAAUUCCCGGUGUAGAGGUGAAAUUCGUAGAUAUCGGGGAGGAACACCUGUGGCGAAGGCGGCCAUCUGGACGACAAUUGACGCUGAGACGCGAAAGCGUGGGUAGCAAACAGG
rnacentral:rRNA from 1 species